rnacentral:lncRNA from 1 species
GAAAAUGUAAUUGAGAAAACUCCAGAAUGGGGCCUGGAAUUGAACUUUAUUGGCAGGAAAGGCAUAAAUAUGAUCCUUCCAGUGCACUUCUAAGCAGAAGGAUUUGGGAGAAUAAGCUUUAGCAAGCAUUUAAAGAGGCAAAGCAUUUAUGAAUAUUCUGAAGUGAACUUCCUGAAAAGAAACCAUUUUGUUGAGGUGAUUCUUCCCUGGUUAAACUGACUGCAAUGCAAUUUCAUUGUCUGAAAUACUUUCUUGCUUUUUGCACAGAUUUGUGUGGCUCCUCUGUGUUAGUUAUACCUGUGUUCAUUGUUUGAACAAGCUGAAAACUCCAGGUAUGUCCACUUUUGAGAAACAUUCUAGGGAACAGUUCAAUGUGGCUGGCUUUUAAAUGUGUGUUAUCUUUUGUUAUCUUUUACUUUAUUUAGCUCAACAUAGCAAUGACAUUUAAUUUUAUAAGUCUCUGAACAUAUCUGCAAAAAUUUGGUAUGUUUCCUUUUUUUUGUUUAGAAUAUUUAGAAUAUUUAAUAUUUAGAAAAUAUAUACUGAGUUAGUCUUUAUUUUGUAUUUCUGCCUUUUAAAAUUACUCCAAAGGUGAACAGAGUAUAACUGGAGUGGCAGUAUGGUCUCACAGAAAGAAACACUUUAACAAUGAUUGCAAUACUAAGUGAUUUGCUUGGGAGAAGCUUAUCUACAAAUGAGACCUCCAUCUUGAUUCUUAGGUGUCUCAGAGCCAAAAAAAAAUUCUGAAGAAACUUACCAACUGGACUGUAUGAGAUGCUGUUUUCUGCAGCCUUCCUCCCUUUUUGAGUGGAUCUGUUUCCCGCGCUGCGGAGAACCGUCUGCCUCGUUUGCCUUCUUGGUGCCUGCGCCUCGUUCCUGCGGCUGUCUGCCUUGCCUCCCAAGGUGCUGCAUUCCCCGCCACGCCGCGAGGGAGAGCACCUUAGGCUGCUGUACGCCUCGCCUGCCUGCGGUCCGGAGUCAGAGCUAUGUGGCCACAUAGCAGUCACACACAGGCUGUUGGCAUGCUACCUGUGGAGCAAGCUGGGCUCAAACUCUUGCACAGCAACAUCUACUAUAAAGAUACCUCUGUUUAUUACACAUAUUUUUAAUUUCAUGAUCUCAUUUUAGAGUCAAGUAAAAAGUUGUAUCCAACAGGAUAGGGGGAAGCUUGUCCAUGAGCUUACCUGGGUUUAUCAGGUCCAGAGGAUGAGUCCUUAGUAUUGCUGGUGAGAGGAGCAUUUAGCAGGAGUCUGUGGCACAUUUUUUCGUUUAACCAGAAAUAUUUAAUAAGAAAGUGAAGUAGCACAUUCUAGCACAUCACUCUUGCAAUAAAACAUUUUUCAAUCCACAGGCUGCUGGCAUUUAGUCCUUUGAAAAGCUAAUAACCUUUGAAAUUUCAUCAUUCAUAAGGAAACUGUUACAUUUUCUGAAAAAAUAGGUAUUCAGCUAUGCUUUCCAUAUUAAAUAUUAGGAUUUGGUUGAGAAAACAGGAUUCAUACUUGUAUUUGAAAACUGUGAUUCCUCUGUAAAGGUCUCAAUUCUGUAAUAACAUUUGAGUUUUAUAGAUUUUUAAUGCUGCCACUUAGGAACUUUGUAAACUCCACAUCUGGAAAAAAUGCACAUAAUUUGUAAUCAUGGUAAUCUUUUAGGUUAAUUUUGUUUACCCCUGACAGAAAGCCAAAUUUAAAUAUAGUUAAUUAUGCUGCGCUUCUUUUAUUGUGAACAUUAGGAAAAAGGCCACAAUUUAAGCUUUGAGGCUCCUGCUUGUACUCUCAGUAAAAUAGCUGUGCUUCUCUUAUAGGCAAUCAUGGUAGAUCUCAGUAACAGCAAUAUUCUUUGGGUUAUAUUGCAAAGUAAUAAAACGCUGAAGCCUGUUAACUCUGUUGGUGAUGAAUUCAAAAUGACAUCCAUUCUUUCAACAUUUAACUGAUCCU